CAGUCGCCACGGUAAUACGUAGGGUGCGAGCGUUAAUCGGAAUUACUGGGCGUAAAGCGUGCGCAGGCGGUUAUAUAAGACAGAUGUGAAAUCCCCGGGCUCAACCUGGGACCUGCAUUUGUGACUGUAUAGCUAGAGUACGGUAGAGGGGGAUGGAAUUCCGCGUGUAGCAGUGAAAUGCGUAGAUAUGCGGAGGAACACCGAUGGCGAAGGCAAUCCCCUGGACCUGUACUGACGCUCAUGCACGAAAGCGUGGGGAGCAAACAGGAUUAGAUACCCGUGUAGUCCCUGUCUCUUAUAC
rnacentral:rRNA from 1 species